AGCCAUCAACACCUAAACAGAAAAAAACAAGGUUACAAUGGGCUAAGGAAAAGCAAUCGUGGACUGUGGAUGACUGGAUGAAAGUCAUAUUCAGUGAUGAAUCUCGAAUCUGCAUUGGGCAAAUAUGCCAGACAAUGUUUGGGCAUGCUGCUUUACUGAAUAUGAGACUGAAAAGUAUCAACCUGACUAGUAAGAACAGGUUCAGUAUGACAUUAUACCUCUACCAUACAGU